UGUGAAGGCAAGCAGAUCCCAAAAAUAACGUCUCAGUUCGGAUUGUAGUCUGCAACUCGACUACAUGAAGCUGGAAUCGCUAGUAAUCGCGAAUCAGCAUGUCGCGGUGAAUACGUUCCCGGGUCUUGUACACACCGCCCGUCACACCAUGGGAGUCGGAAAUGCCCGAAGCCAGUGACCCAACCAUAAGGAGGGAGCUGUCGAAGGUGGAGCCGGUGACUGGGGUGAAGUCGUAACAAGGUACC
rnacentral:rRNA from 1 species